AGAGUUUGAUCAUGGCUCAGAUUGAACGCUGGCGGCAUGCCUUACACAUGCAAGUCGAACGGUAGCGGGCCUUCGGGUGCCGACGAGUGGCGAACGGGUGAGUAAUGUAUCGGAACGUACCAUUGAGUGGGGGAUAACGUAGCGAAAGUUACGCUAAUACCGCAUAUUCUCUCCGGAGGAAAGCAGGGGGACCGCAAGGCCUUGCGCUCUUUGAGCGGCCGAUAUCAGAUUAGCUAGUUGGUGAGGUAAAGGCUCACCAAGGCGACGAUCUGUAGCGGGUCUGAGAGGAUGAUCCGCCACACUGGAACUGAGACACGGUCCAGACUCCUACGGGAGGCAGCAGUGGGGAAUUUUGGACAAUGGGGGCAACCCUGAUCCAGCCAUGCCGCGUGAGUGAAGAAGGCCUUCGGGUUGUAAAGCUCUUUCGGCCGGGAAGAAAUCGCAUGGGUUAAUACCCUGUGCGGAUGACGGUACCGGCAUAAGAAGCACCGGCUAACUACGUG
rnacentral:rRNA from 1 species